UUGUGGAGGAAGCAAGUGCUGGCUGCCUC
rnacentral:piRNA from 1 species